UGACUUCAAAAUUUGAGGUCACCUAGCCAACUGACGUUGUUAGUGAACCGAUUUGUUCACACUGUUUUCGGCCGAUUGAAUUAUCAAUCGGCCUUUUCUUU
rfam:Vibro shilonii strain QT6D1 chromosome 2, complete sequence.